rnacentral:snoRNA from 1 species
UUGCCCAAUGAUUAUAGCAAGACGCGUUAUUAUGAGGACUAAUGCUGGAACUCUUCUUUCCCCCCCCCCUUCUUCUUUGUCCCUUCCUCUUUCACCUUACCCCUCACUUUCCUUAGGGUAUCCAGCGUCCUAUGAGCAAGACUGAGAUAUGAGGGCAA